rnacentral:rRNA from 1 species
GCAGCCGCCGCGGGAAUACGAAGGGUGCAAGCGUUACUCGGAAUUACUGGGCGUAAAGCGUGCGUAGGUGGUGGUUUAAGUCCGUUGUGAAAGCCCUGGGCUCAACCUGGGAAUUGCAGUGGAUACUGGGUCACUAGAGUGUGGUAGAGGAUAGUGGAAUUUCCGGUGUAGCAGUGAAAUGCGUAGAGAUCGGAAGGAACAUCUGUGGCGAAGGCGACUAUCUGGGCCAACACUGACACUGAGGCACGAAAGCGUGGGGAGCAAACAGGAUUAGAUACCCGUGUAGUCCCUGUCUCUUAUAC